rnacentral:misc_RNA from 1 species
AAGGAGCACAUAGCCGGAUGCGAGCGAAUGUCUCGCACGGUUGCUCAUGGGUGGAACGUUGACUAUUCGGCACGAUGAACGAGACGAGCGGUAGUACUGCUUCGGCGUGGAAAGCGCUUCGUCUGGUCGUCGGGUCGGGCACGUUGUUGGGUCCUGAGGGAACGAGUAAUCGUUGUCUUCAGGUUGGCCCCUCAUGCCGGGCGUCCCUGUCUUGGGGGUGUCGGGUUUGGGUGUCUGGUCGUUGUUUGAGAACUGCACAGUGGACGCGAGCAUCUGU